UACGAGGGGGGCAAGCGUUGUUCGGAAUUAUUGGGCGUAAAGGGCGCGUAGGCGGUUUGACAAGUCUGAUGUGAAAAUCUAUGGGCUCAACCCAUAGCCUGCAUUAGAAACUGUCGGGCUUGAGUAUGGGAGAGGUGAGUGGAAUUUCCGGUGUAGCGGUGAAAUGCGUAGAUAUCGGAAGGAACACCUGUGGCGAAAGCGGCUCACUGGACCAUAACUGACGCUGGAGGCGCGAAAGCUAGGGGAGCAAACAGG
rnacentral:rRNA from 1 species